rnacentral:snRNA from 1 species
AUUCUUACGUGGUAGGGGAGAUACCAUGAUCGCGAAGGUGGUUUUCCAGGGCGAGGCUUACCCAUUGCACUCCGGAUAUGCUGACCCCUGUGAUUUUCCCAAAUGUGGGAAACUCGACUGCAUGAUUUGUGGUAGCGGGGGACUGCGUUCACGCUCUUCCCUG